rnacentral:rRNA from 1 species
AACGUAGGAGGCAAGCGUUAUCCGGAUUUACUGGGCGUAAAGCGCGCGUAGGCGGCUUUGCAAGUCGGGUGUGAAAUCCCCAGGCUUAACCUGGGAACUGCAUUCGAGACUGCAUUGCUAGAGUAUGGGAGAGGGAAGUGGAAUUUCCGGUGUAGCGGUGAAAUGCGCAGAUAUCGGGAAGAACACCCGUGGCGAAGGCGGCUCUCGUGGGACGGUACUGACGCUGAGACGGCGAAAGCGUGGGGAGCGAACAGG